rnacentral:rRNA from 1 species
AGUGAACGCUGGCGGUAGGCCUAACACAUGCAAGUCGAACGGCAGCACAGUAAGAGCUUGCUCUUACGGGUGGCGAGUGGCGGACGGGUGAGGAAUACAUCGGAAUCUACUUUUUCGUGGGGGAUAACGUAGGGAUACUUACGCUAAUACCGCAUACGACCUACGGGUGAAAGCAGGGGAUCUUCGGACCUUGCGCGAUUGAAUGAGCCGAUGUCAGAUUAGCUAGUUGGCGGGGUAAAGGCCCACCAAGGCGACGAUCCGUAGCUGGUCUGAGAGGAUGAUCAGCCACACUGGAACUGAGACACGGUCCAGACUCCUACGGGAGGCAGCAGUGGGGAAUAUUGGACAAUGGGCGCAAGCCUGAUCCAGCCAUACCGCGUGGGUGAAGAAGGCCUUCGGGUUGUAAAGCCCUUUUGUUGGGAAAGAAAAGCAGCAGGUUAAUACCCCGCUGUUCUGACGGUACCCAAAGAAUAAGCACCGGCUAACUUCGUG